GACGAACGCUGGCGGCGUGCUUAACACAUGCAAGUCGAACGGAAAGGCCCUGCUUUUGUGGGGUGCUCGAGUGGCGAACGGGUGAGUAACACGUGAGUAACCUGCCCUUGACUUUGGGAUAACUUCAGGAAACUGGGGCUAAUACCGGAUAGGAGCUCCUGCUGCAUGGUGGGGGUUGGAAAGUUUCGGCGGUUGGGGAUGGACUCGCGGCUUAUCAGCUUGUUGGUGGGGUAGUGGCCUACCAAGGCUUUGACGGGUAGCCGGCCUGAGAGGGUGACCGGCCACAUUGGGACUGAGAUACGGCCCAGACUCCUACGGGAGGCAGCAGUGGGGAACAUUGCACAAUGGGCGGAAGCCUGAUGCAGCAACGCCGCGUGCGGGAUGACGGCCUUCGGGUUGUAAACCGCUUUCGCCUGUGACGAAGCGUGAGUGACGGUAAUGGGUAAAGAAGCACCGGCUAACUACGUG
rnacentral:rRNA from 1 species